AAUUGCUUAAGACUUUUGGUGCUUGCCUCUGCCAAGCCACAAAAAGUUCUUCAGGAAACUCAUUUGUUGGGCCAACAUCUUUUUCAUUGAAGUUGCCACCAUUUAUUUUCUGGGUAAACUUUGAUUUGUUAAGUGAGACCUCAGAACUUUUCAAGAAAAUUAUGGAUCCUAUUGAAAUGACUGGCACUCUGGCCCGUGAGCAUAGGCAUAUGGGAACUUUGAUUGGUUAAGUGAGACCUCAGAACUUUUCAAGAAAAUUAUGGAUCCUAUUGAAAUGACUGGCACUCUGGCCCGUGAGCAUAGGUGUAUGGAUUCAUCCAAAGGGAUUGGAAGGACUAGGCCUUGCUCUGGCACUAGAAGAAUUUCAGAACAGGAAA
rnacentral:lncRNA from 1 species